rnacentral:pre_miRNA from 1 species
UAGACAAAUUAUUGUAUUCGAUUGUAUUUACGACGUGAAACAGGGGAUUACACUGUUUUCAAACGGAAAGUGAAACAAUUAACUUAAUAGACUCCG